GCAGCUUUCCAGCAAUAUCUCCAAUCAGCUCCUGAGGACCAGAGAAAGAUGGCUAUGAGUGUCUCUGAACUGCAAGCAUGAGGUUCCCAGGGAGAGCUGACCCACCCUGCAUGGAAGGGCUGAGCUCUAGGAUCCUGAGCAUCGUUGUCCUUGUUCUGGGUUUUGACAGGACACUGCUGGGGUGUUGGCAAAACAGGCACGGUAUCACUCAGCACUGGCCACGGAGAUGCUGAACUGUUGCUGCUGGGAACUAGAGGAAAUCUAGUCAGCUGAGGCCUGUGAAGGUACUGAGGAGGAGCUAGAAGAUACAAACAGGGAGGAGGAGGAAAGUGGCACAGAUGAAGAAAGUUUAUGGGAGGAAAGAAAAGAACUGUGAGCUGGGGGUGAGGAGACAUCGCUUCUUCUGACUGGUUGGUGUUGCGUAUUGGUGUCGUCUCUCCCUCUCCUGCUCCCUUCUCCUCUCAGCUAAGUGUGUUAAAUGGUUUCCCUACCACAGCUAACCUAUCUGGAGAGUAAGACACAACUGCCAAAAGAGAAACACUGCAGUAAGCAACAGAGCAAACACAAAAGAGCUUUACAGAAUGGUGAUGGAAAUGUGCUGUUUUUUAAAUGCCAAAGAAUGGAUCUGGUUUAGGGUCAGAAUAAGGGGAGACUGAGGGUGGGAGGAACUGUUGAAGAAAGGGAAGUUUCUGUUGCUGGUGCUUCUGCAUGCUUAAAGCACACAUGCUACAAAGGUAGAGUGAAAGCGCUUUAUGUCCAUGAGGCACUUCGUUACUGGCAGGAGAUAUACAUUUUGCACUGUUUGUGCUAGAGCCCCUAACAUAAACACAGUGAGGCAAUGCCUGUGUUACUGCCAUUCCUCACCUGUGAUACGGGGUCUUGUGAUAGUCAGAGUCAAUAGCAUGUUGCUGCUUCAGCAUGGAGGGAGGGGUGCUGAGCAAAAUCACCAGCUUCAUAGUGCUGUGACACAAAAAAAAAGCUGUCUAUGGAAAGUGGCACCUCAGCACUCUGGUGCUAAGGCCAAGCUGGUCUAAUGUUUAAUGAAAAAUGCCUCAUCUUCCCUAUGGACAACAGUUUCUUCUCUGCCUUUGAAUCAAGCAGCAGGUGCAUUUCAUCCAGAAAUGACAGCAGAACAGUAAGGGAGGGGUGAUGUUUCAAGCAUUGUAUAAUCAAUUAUUUUCUCCAUAAGAAAGACAGCAGGUUUCUGCCCCUUCAUUUCUCAAGUAAGGCUUUUCCUGGUCCUUGUUCUGAUUUUAUUUUUGUAAGGCCAGGAGGGAAGGUGGUAAAUGAUUUGCUAGAGGCGGCCACCGUGCCAGGCCUCUUUCAAAGCGCUCUGCCCUCAGCUAGCCUGGAGGCAGAGCAAGCCUGAGUCACCAGAGGAAGGAGCUUGGCCUGGCACCACGCAACCCCUGUGCUUUGGUGUGAGCCAGAGCCAGGGGUGGUUGUGUGAUGGGCUGGGAUCGCCUGGCCACGUCCUGCCUCAGACUAAGCAAGUUUCAGUGCUGGGUGGUGAGGAGACUUCUUUGGGGCCCUUAAUCCCUCCUCGCAGGAGGCAAGCAGACUGGCUGAGUGGGAAACAGAAGCCAGCAGUGAUAGCUGGAGCUGUGGCGUGUCUGGCAGCUGUAGUCGCGGGAGUCUUGCUCUGGGCACGCACGCAAACUUCCCUCAGCACGCUGUGUCGCCUGCUCUGGCACUGCUGGAUCCGGGUUUGUGCUGCAUCCACCCCCCGGACACACAUUUGCAGGUCUCUUGGUGUAGACAGACACUCUUGCUGCCCUCUGCCUCCCAGCGCCCCUAGAGCUAGAUGCCCCAUAAAGCAGCUCCGCAGCCAUUUCACACCAGUGAGCCUUUCCCCAGCCUCAGGAGGGCCGAAGAGGCCCAGCUCAGUGUUGCCCCCAGAAGAAAUAGGCAAGGCAGGAGUUUCAGU